AUUGAACGCUGGCGGCAUGCCUUACACAUGCAAGUCGAACGGCAGCGGACCUUCGGGUGCCGGCGAGUGGCGAACGGGUGAGUAAUAUAUCGGAACGUACCUUUCAGUGGGGGAUAACGUAGCGAAAGUUACGCUAAUACCGCAUAUUCUGUGAGCAGGAAAGCAGGGGAUCGCAAGACCUUGCGCUGAUUGAGCGGCCGAUAUCAGAUUAGCUAGUUGGUGAGGUAAAGGCUCACCAAGGCGACGAUCUGUAGCGGGUCUGAGAGGAUGAUCCGCCACACUGGAACUGAGACACGGUCCAGACUCCUACGGGAGGCAGCAGUGGGGAAUUUUGGACAAUGGGCGCAAGCCUGAUCCAGCCAUGCCGCGUGAGUGAAGAAGGCCUUCGAGUUGUAAGACUCUUUCGGUCCGGGAA
rnacentral:rRNA from 1 species